rnacentral:lncRNA from 1 species
AUCGUAAAUGGAAGAAGGGCUCCACCCACCCCACGUCGGUAGGAAAUUGUACGUCAUCCGAGGCUUGCCCGGCAGCAAGCGGGAGGAUUUUUUGGGCAUAAUCCUCUUUUUCUAGAAAGAGACAUGCUCAUCCUGCUCAUCUCUAUCUUGUCGCGACAGUAGUCUUGGUUCAGACUACCCCAGUUUGGAUUUAGGUUGGAUACGGCAAGUCGGCGAGCGUAAAUACGAGGACAGAGGACUUAUUACGGUGGUAGAGAGAGAGUUUCACCAGAAAAAGAAAAGUUUCAGAGAGAGAGGAUAUAGAAUAAGUAAUGUCUUGACUUUUUUCAUCAAAAAAACUCAUGUCUUGACUUUGCAUGGAAAAGUGAAUGCGCCAUGGG